rnacentral:rRNA from 1 species
AGUGAACGCUGGCGGUAGGCCUAACACAUGCAAGUCGAACGGCAGCACAGUAAGAGCUUGCUCUUACGGGUGGCGAGUGGCGGACGGGUGGGGAAUACAUCGGAAUCUACUUUUUCGUGGGGGAUAACGUAGGGAAACUUACGCUAAUACCGCAUACGACCUACGGGUGAAAGCAGGGGAUCUUCGGACCUUGCGCGAUUGAAUGAGCCGAUGUCGGAUUAGCUAGUUGGCGGGGUAAGGCCCACCAAGGCGACGAUCCGUAGCUGGUCUGAGAGGAUGAUCAGCCACACUGGAACUGAGACACGGUCCAGACUCCUACGGGAGGCAGCAGUGGGGAAUAUUGGACAAUGGGCGCAAGCCUGAUCCAGCCAUACCGCGUGGGUGAAGAAGGCCUUCGGGUUGUAAAGCCCUUUUGUUGGGAAAGAAAAGCAGCAGGUUAAUACCCCGCUGUUCUGACGGUACCCAAAGAAUAAGCACCGGCUAACUUCGUG